ACGAAGUAGCAAUACUUAGUGGCAGACGGGUGAGUAACAUGUAGGUAUCUGCCCUUUGGCCUGGAAUAACACGAGGAAACUUGUGCUAAUACCGGAUAAGUCUUUACGGAGAAAGCUUUAUGCACCAUUGGAUGAGCCUGCACUUGAUUAGUUUGUUGGUGGGGUAAUGGCCUACCAAGACUGUGAUCAAUAGCUGAUUUGAGAGGAUGAUCAGCCACAUUGGGACUGAGACACGGCCCAAACUCCUACGGGAGGCAGCAGUGGGGAAUCUUGCACAAUGGAGGAAACUCUGAUGCAGCGAUGCCGCGUGAGUGAAGAAGGCCUUUGGGUUGUAAAGCUCUUUCGUCGGG
rnacentral:rRNA from 1 species